CAGAAAUUGCUGGCGUCGCCACAGUAACGUAGACCAAGCGCCCGAGUGCCAGAGACGUAACGCAGCACACCCAGAGCGAGCCCCAUGUGCGCUUUGGUGGGGGCGGACAUGUGCCGCGCCAGCAUGCUCAGAGCGUGUGCGAUGUCUGGGCGUGUGCUGGUAGCGAGGUAGUUUAGUUCUCCCACCAGCGCGCGGUAGCCACUGCUGUCCGUCAAUAUCGGCUGGGUGUCACUGGCUGGCAGAACCCGUGUACCCUGGGGUAGCGGGGUGGCACGUGGCUUGGCGUUCUCCAGGCUGUGGCGCUGAAGCAGCUGCUCCACGUAACACUGCUGCGUGAGCAUGAUGCUGCGGUUGCGGCGGUCCUGGACGAUCUCCAUGCCGAGGUAGUAGCGCGCCUCUCCAAGGUCUCGUACUGCGAAGCAACCAGCUAUGGCCGCCUUGGCGGCCGCAACCAACUGCGGGUUGUCCGCCGCCACCAGCAUGUCAUCAACGUGCACGAGCACAUCGAUUGAGCCAUCGGACCCCCGCUUGACGAAUAGCGCGGGGUCGGACGCAGACGGUUCAUAGCCUAGCUUGCCCAGCUCCGCUGCCAGCUUCUCGUACCAGCAACGUGGGGCUUGCUUGAGGCCGUAAACAGAGUUUGGUGGGUAGUCCCUUAAUCUCCCACUGUACCGGCAAGACUUUAUGCAGGCUUUUGAUCUGCAGCUCCACCUCGAUGGGGUCCUCGUUGGGGCACAGUUGCACCCCACUAACGCGAAUGCGUUCACCGUAGGCCUCGAACAAGUACGCCAAUCCACCUUUUGGCACCAAUAUGGAAAAGUCCAUCGCGAUGUUGCUCUCAGCCCCAGCUGCGUAUAAAAGCCGCUUCUCAAUGCGUGGGCCGCCCCACCAGUUGAACUCGGCAGAGCUGAAAUGCUGCCCCAGCGUCGACCGAAUAGCUGUUCCUAAUGGUCCAUGUAUCUAAGCCAUUAAGUCAUUGCGGUCGGACCUCGCGGGCCAAUGGACGACGAGGUCAAUGGUUUCCAACUCCAGCACCGAGCUGUAUUUGUGGCCGUCCAGCGUUACUACGUUAAAGGCGUUAAUCCGCUUUGGAGCUGCUUUUGCCCUGCCAGCGUUGGGAAGCUCUGUCGGUUUUCUCGCGCCGCCAUUUCCAAGCGUCCUCCUCGGCGCGGUAGUCCGCGGCCGUUUCCUCUGAGCCAUUCCGUUCGCCAUUUUUAUCCUGCCAUUUCUGAGAUGAAUAGGUUGGCAAUUAGUUUGGCAACUGCGGCCGUGUGCGGCCGAUGUCCAUGGUAGCAAUCAGGUUGCAGUCUUACGAUCAGGUCGUCAUUAUACACCCAUAAAUGUAUGUAUGUAUGUAUGCAUGCACCGUCCCGCCUUUCCCGCCCACUGCCUACAUCCCCCCCCCCCGNNNNNNNNNNNNNNNNNNNNNNNNNNNNNNNNNNNNNNNNNNNNNNNNNNNCCACCCACCAACCACCACCCACCGCCCACCUACCACCCACCGCCCACCGCACCCCCAGCAUCGUCAAGUUGUGGAAGGACGGACGGGUGAGUGGGUGAGUGAGUGAGUGGGUGGGACCCCCGGUGCCAUCAUUCGCAUCCCACCUUCCCGCCACUUCAGGGCAGCCCCACCACGAAGCCAACAUUCAGAGAGAGAGAGAGAGGCACACGGAGGGAAACACCGCUCACCGCGCCGCGCAAGUGGCCGCCGCCCUCAGCGCCCCCUCCGUGAACCGCACCCCGUGGUGCUGCUGGUAGCGGGGGGCCAGACCCCGCAGCCAGGACACCACCUCGGCCUCCCCGGGCUCCUCCACAAGCACACUCUGCGGGGCAGGGAGGGAGCGAGAGAAGGGGGGGGGGAGGGGAGGGCAUCAAGCGUACGUGUUGAAACCUUGGAUGCGUAAAAAUAGUCAAGCAGUCUAAGGGGGUCUAAGAAGCCAACUGUACGGCGGCGGCAUGCCGUAUCACCUGGAAGCGGCGUGCGAAUGCGGGGUCCGACUCCACGUGUUUGCGGUACUCGUCCAGGGUGGUGGCGCCAAUGCAGCGAAGCGACCCACGGGCCAGUGCGGGCUUGAGGAUGUUGGCGGCGUCCAGACCGCCCUCCGCACUUCCGGCACCCACUGAACGAACAUACAUACAUACAUACAUACAUACAUACAUACAUACAUACAUACAUACAUACAUACAUACAUACAUACAUACAUACAUACAUACAUACAUACAUACAUGUAUGGGUGUAUAAUGACGACCUGAUCGUUAGACUGCAACCUGAUUGCUACCAUGGACAUCGGCCGCACACGGCCGCAGUUGCCAAACUAAUUGCCAACCUAUUCAUCUCAGAAAUGGUAGGAUAGAAAUGGCGAACGGAAUGGCUCAGAGGAAACGGCCGCGGACUACCGCGCCGAGGACGCUUGGAAAUGGCGGCACGAGAAAACCGACAGAGCUUCCAAACGCUGGCAGAGCAAACGCAGCUCCAAAGCGGAUUAACGCCUUUAACGUAGUAACGCUGGACGGCCACAAAUACAGCUCGGUGCUGGAGUUGGAAACCAUUGACCUCGUCGUCCAUUGGCCAGCGAGGUCCGACCGGAAUGACUUAAUGGCUCAGAUAUAUGGACCAUUAGGAACAGCUAUUCGGUCGACGCUGGGGCAGCAUUUCAGCUCUACCGAGUUCACAUGGUGGGGCGGCCCACGCAUUGAGAAGCGGCUCUUAUACGCAGCUGGGGCUGAGAACAACAUCGCGAUGGAAUUUUCCAUAAUGGUGCCAAAAGGUGGAUUAGCGCAUUUGUUCGAAGCCUACGGUGAACGCAUUCGCGUUAGUGGGGUGCAACUAUGCCCCAACGAGGACCCCAUCGAGGUGGAGCUGCAGAUCAAAAAUUGGCAUAAAGUCUUGCCGGUACAGUGGGAGAUUAAGGGAGUCCCCACCAAACUCAGCGUCCACGGGGUCGCUGAGUUCCUCGCCAGGGCAUACAGCACCAGCCAUCAGCCCCGCACAGCGACGGAAUUUAUCUACCUGAUCCCCACGGCCAUGGCCGACACCUGGCAGCUCACCCUGCCCCGGGAUCACCGGGGCUUGCCAUGUGAGAUGCCUUAUGAGUACUACGGGUGGUUGGGCGAGCAGCACCAGGUCGGCUGUUUAAAGGCCGCCAAGCUGUCACCCAACCUCGAGGUGAACCCCUACCUUAUGCCCCGCUGUCCACCACCCCGGGAGGAGCUUCGCAAGCAGCAGCGGAGGCAACGAGAGGCGGCGGGGCACCACACCCAGCAAACCCGCCCAGCAGACCCUUCACCGCCAAUGCCACCCAUGGCAGCAUUCAGCGGCCCCACCCGCCCGGCAACCUACCCUGGCCCCCCGGGACAGACCGUGGAGCCGCAGGUGUCAGGGUUACAGGCGGCGGCAACUGAGGGAAAUGCAGCGGAGAUGGUUUACCCCCCGGGCCCCCCCCCCACCUCCAAUGCCAAUGCCACUUCGGGCCCCAAGGGAACACAGCGGCGGCAGAGGAACCGGAGGCAGCGGUAAUAUUGACAACCCCUCGAGCAGUGGGGGACCGCGAAGCAGUACCCCUGCUUGCAUCACCGUCCUGAACAACGGGAGCGUCCAAGGCGACAGCUGCAGGGGUACGGAGCCCACUGGCAGCAGGGCCGAGGCCUACAAUGGUGGACCAGCUUUGCCAACUGGACCCGGUAGCAGCAGAGUCAGGUAGGGGUUUACCUCGAGGUUGGGUGACAGCUUGGCGGCCUUUAAACAGCCGACCUGGUGCUGCUCGCCCAACCACCCGACCACCCGUAGUACUCAUACGGCAUCUCACAUGGCAAGCCCCGGUGAUCACGGGGCAGGGUGAGCUGCCAGGUGUCGGCCAUGGCCGUGGGGAUCAGGUAGAGAAAUUCCGUCGCUGUGCGAGGCUGAUGGCUGGUGCUGUAGGCCCUGGCGAGGAACUCAGCGACCCCGUGGACGCUGAGUUCACAGAAAUUGCUGGCGUCGCCACAGUAACGUAGACCAAGCGCCCGAGUGCCAGAGACGUAACGCAGCACACCCAGAGCGAGCCCCAUGUGCGCUUUGGUGGGGGCGGACAUGUGCCGCGCCAGCAUGCUCAGAGCGUGUGCGAUGUCUGGGCGUGUGCUGGUAGCGAGGUAGUUUAGUUCUCCCACCAGCGCGCGGUAGCCACUGCUGUCCGUCAAUAUCGGCUGGGUGUCACUGGCUGGCAGAACCCGUGUACCCUGGGGUAGCGGGGUGGCACGUGGCUUGGCGUUCUCCAGGCUGUGGCGCUGAAGCAGCUGCUCCACGUAACACUGCUGCGUGAGCAUGAUGCUGCGGUUGC
rnacentral:lncRNA from 1 species